CCCGGGGCGCGAGCCCGGGCGGAGCGGCCGUCGGUGCAGAUCUUGGUGGUAGUAGCAAAUAUUCAAAUGAGAACUUUGAAGGCCGAAGAGGAGAAAGGUGCCCUGUGAACGGCACUUGCACAUGGGUAAGCCGAUCCUAAGGGACGGGGUAACCCCGGCAGAUAGCGCGAUCACGCGCAUCCCCCGAAAGGGAAUCGGGUUAAGAUUUCCCGAGCCGGGAUGUGGCGGUUG
rnacentral:ncRNA from 1 species